GCGCGCCUGUCCUAGGACAAGUCGGCACAGUAGUGUGGAAAAGUACGGCACAAAUUAUUUAUAGGGAAAAACAUCAUAACCUCAUUCUUCUUCUUACCCUGGCAACUGACGCAACAAUACGCCAUACUGUGAAUUCUUAAUUUUUAUCAUUUUUCUUGCCUUUAAACUUAUUAUUUGUGAAAUUCAUCAUUCCUGUUCGAGAAUUAAAUUAGUUUUGAAGUGAAAUAUACUGAAAUUCUCAUCAUUUGUGGACCACCUUAGCAGCAAAGGGAGGAUUUGCAUCGCUCAAAGAAAGGGAAUCAGAGUCAUUCAAGGUCACCCGCCAUUCCGGUCAAUUCGCGCCGGAGGUGCCUUUAAUGCUCCCUCUGAUUCUCUUCCGCAGGUGCGUACAAAACAUAUUGAGGUUGAGAGCCAGGGGACACUCCGUCACCAUAGUGUCACUAAUGUUUUUAUCAUCUCCCUCAAAGGUGUGUAAAGCUCAAGAAGGAAGGCAAGGAGGUGAAUUAUCAUUGAAGUUACUAAUCUCUUUUGUGUACAUCUUCUCAAAGGUGCGUACAAAACAUAUUGAGGUUGAGAGCCAGGGGACAC